UACAGAGGUGCCAAGCGUUGUUCGGAUUUAUUGGGCGUAAAGGGCGCGUAGGCGGUGUGUCAAGUCAGGCGUGAAAGCCCCGGGCUCAACCUGGGAACCGCGCUUGAGACUGGCACGCUAGAGUUCGGGAGAGGAUGGUGGAAUUCCCAGUGUAGAGGUGAAAUUCGUAGAUAUUGGGAAGAACACCGAUGGCGAAGGCAGCCAUCUGGACCGACACUGACGCUGAGGCGCGAAAGCGUGGGGAGCAAACAGG
rnacentral:rRNA from 1 species